rnacentral:rRNA from 1 species
CCUACGUGAGGCAGCAGUGGGGAAUAUUGCACAAUGGGGGAAACCCUGAUGCAGCGACGCCGCGUGAGUGAAGAAGUAAUUCGUUAUGUAAAGCUCUAUCAGCAGGGAAGAAAAUGACGGUACCUGAGUAAGAAGCCCCGGCUAACUACGUGCCAGCAGCCGCGGUAAUACGUAGGGGGCAAGCGUUAUCCGGAUUUACGGGGUGUAAAGGGAGCGUAGACGGCGGUGCAAGUCUGGAGUGAAAGGCGGGGGCUGAACCCACGGACUGCUGUGGAAACUGUACGGCUGGAGUGCAGGAGAGGUAAGUGGAAUUCCUAGUGUAGCGGUGAAAUGCGUAGAUAUUAGGAGGAACACCAGUGGCGAAGGCGGCUUACUGGACUGUAACUGACGUUGAGGCUCGAAAGCGUGGGGAGCAAACAGGAUUAGAUACCCCAGUAGUC